AGUGGCAGCAAUAUCUCAGAAUGGGCUAUCUUUUUACUGAAGACCAAUAAAAUCUAAUCACUGUAAGUGGGUGUGGGUAAAAAUCAGAACAAAAGGAAUCUCAACAUAUCUUAACAGCAGUAAUGUUUGAUAUUUUACGUCUCCAGUCAAAGAAUGGAACAAACAUUAACUAAUUAACCAUUGAAGCAAUUCUACACCUUUGCAAAUACUUUAUAUUUACUUUUCUACUGUAGUUGUCUUUUUGUAACUGAGAAAAACAAAACACAAGCAUACACAAAAAUAAUGCAUUACGCUUGGCAUUCUUUUUCCUAAGAUUUCCACUAUUUCUAGACUAAAGGACUUCAUAACAUUCACCUUUGUGCCACAAGUGUUUUAAGGAUGGUUUUGUUUCAAGUUCCUAUGAAGCACAGAAAAGGGGAGUGGAUCUGGACAGAGAUUUCCUAGGCAAACUUGACGCACACAAAUCUGUGGGCCUGGAUGAGCCCCAGGAGUGCUCAGGAAGUUGGCAGAAGUGACUGCCAAACCACUUUCUAUCCUAUUUGAAAGGUAAUGGAGAACAGAAGAGGUGCCUGAAGACUGAAGGAUAGUCAGUGUCAUUUGUGUCUUCAAAAAGGGCAAGAAGGAGGAUCUGGGCAACUACAGGCCAGUCAGUCUUCCUUCUGUUCCUGGGAAGAUAGAAUAACUUAUUCUGUAUAUCAUCACAAAGCAAGUAGAAGAGAAGGUUGUCAGGAAUAGUCAACAUGGAUACACCAAGGGGAAAUCAUGCUCAACUAACCUGGCAACCUUCUAUGACAUCAUCACCAGCUGAAUGGAUGGGGUGCAAGUGGAGGAUGUUGUGCACCUUGACUUCAAGACUGCAUGCAUUUAUUGCAUAAAAAAUACAAUUGACUCUCCUAAGAUAAAGUGGGUGAUGGAAUACAAGAUGGAAAAAUGCUCCAAGGCACGGAUACUAUUUGAAUAAGAAUACUGCAGUAAGAGGAAGAAAGCCUGACAAAAGAAGGAGUUGACAUGCUAAGAGCAUCAGGGAGGAGACCAAGAAACUAACAGAGAAUUCUGAUCUGUGUCAAAGAUCAGCUGAUGCUGAAAUAUGAAGAAUGCACUAACUAUGACACUAUCUCUAGAUUUACAUUUUCUACUACAUUACACUUAGAGGAGAAUGCCAACUAAUUCAGAGAAGUUUUAGAGACAAAGAAGGGCUCAGCCUAGGAGCAGUGAAACAACUUUGGAAACUGAGUAGAAUAUAUGAGAGCAAGACGUACAGAAGAAAUCCCACCUAGAAGCACUGGCACAUGGACAGCAAGUAAUGCUCACUGGUUUAAUGGCAUUUCAGCUUGGAGAAGACAAUAGAGGUAAAAUUCCACUAGAUGGAAUAGUUGAAGCAAAUAUUAACAAGCCAUGUGUGGAAACAUAAGUUUUGGGCCAAUACAUCCUAUUAUUUGCUUCACUUGGAAGAGAAGAAACACAUGAAAUACAUCUUGCAAGUGUUUGGGAACGAGCUGAAGCAGUGCUCUUAGAAGGCCUUCCAGUGUAGGACUUGAGUAGACGAGAACAUUUUUUUUUCUAUGGCCCUAUGGAUUGAGAACCAAGGAAAUUAAAAGUGAUUUUAGUUAAUACAGUA